rnacentral:piRNA from 1 species
UAGAGCUUUGCCAGAAGGGUCUCGACCCACAG